rnacentral:pre_miRNA from 1 species
AGGAGGAACAACCGCAGUGGCGGCGGCAGCUCUGCAGCCCUGGAGUCAGCCCCCGCAGUAGCUCCGGAGCUCUCCGUCUGCAGGGCCUGGAGGCUCCGGGGCGGG